rnacentral:rRNA from 1 species
UACGGAGGGGGCUAGCGUUGUUCGGAAUUACUGGGCGUAAAGCGCACGUAGGCGGCUUUGUAAGUCAGAGGUGAAAUCCCGGGGCUCAACCCCGGAACUGCCUUUGAGACUGCAUCGCUUGAAUCCAGGAGAGGUGAGUGGAAUUCCGAGUGUAGAGGUGAAAUUCGUAGAUAUUCGGAAGAACACCAGUGGCGAAGGCGGCUCACUGGACUGGUAUUGACGCGUGA